CAAAAAACUAAGGGAGUGUGAAUUAAUCCAACAAAAACAAAUUGUUCAACGUUUAGGGCCACACAGUCCCAAAAAUAAUCGAAAAGAGAUGAUCAUGUAAAUAUGACUAUGUAAUCAUAUAUUCAAAAUAUGGUCUGAUUGUAUUUUUUAAAUACUGUAUUGUGUAAAUAUAACCCUAAUAUUGUAAUGAAAAUUUACAGAUUCACGCAUCCAUUUUCUAUACCUCUUAGCGGAGCCCAGAUAUGAACUCCUGACCUCUGAAUUUAGACGAAAGUCGUGUAUGGUGCCUCCUUAUAGGAUUACAAUGAUGUAUAUAACCCAACGUAAAAUGUAACGCAAACUGCUGUUCCAGUUUAAACCAUAACUGUCAGAACCAGACUUGGACACAGACAGGACAUAGUUGCGGGGUUCAAAGUAAAAAGACUUAUUUGAGGAUCAGCCACUGACAACUCGAAACGGCAAGGCUGUGGAAACAGCGCAAGAACUGAUCAGAUCUAUGGCGAGAAACUGGAGUGGACGCACAACUCUUCUCAACUUUAUUUCAAGAGCACUUUAAAACAACCACCGCUGUAUACAAAGUGCUGUACGUGGAGCAAAUAUCAUAUAUACAAUAAUAUCUACAAGAAGACAAGAACGAAACACACUGGCACAGGACAAAGGGAGACAAGAACCAUUUUAACACAAGGAAAGGGGGCAACAGGUGGAAACAAUCACGGCGGGGUUGACCAUCAGACUGGCACAAGAGGAAGGCUUCGAUGGGGUGAUCAAGACUGGGCCGACCAAGAUAAACAUCCUGGCUGUGGUGGUAGGAAGACAGCAGUUGUAACAGGCUAGGUCCAACUGGCGGGCCGUGGGUUGGAGAGCUGGGAUGAGCAACAAGAGGAGGCCGCCGAGCGCAAGGGAAAACAGGAAGCCG